CUUUCUUUCUUUCAUCUCUCUGUCUCUCUCGAUGGAAGUCCAAAAUUGACGAAGGAUUGAGAUGGAUUUGAUUUUGGAGUCGAUUGAAGCAAUUGGAAUCGGAAGAUCGUUGAUCGAGCAGACAACUCUUCGCUUAUCUCUCUUGUUAAGAGUUUUGACUCUGUUCUUGAAGUCUAUGAAGGUUUCUGCAAUUUGAAACAUAUUACUGUCUGAUGAUUUUGAGCCACAGGUUCUUUAUAAUAUAUUUUCUGGUAUGAUCUACGGUUUGGAAAGCAUAUAGCAUGACAUUACAGUCUCUCUUGGGUUUCGCUCAGUACCAUGACUGACUUGAGAUUUUAGAGGAUAAAACUCUCAGUGACAACAGGAGAAGAAAGCUUUAGAGGUUCCAUCUCUUGGUAAUAUUGUUUCUUUCUGAAGCUUUUCACAUUAAAUUUUCUGCCUGAGUUUUAACUGCAGAAGCACCCGUAACCUUAAGUAAAUAUGGAGGCGUGAGAGAAGUGGGAUAAACCCAAAGUUCAAGAGAGCCUUACGGAAUUGACGUUGUUCACCUCACAUUCUCUCAUAGUUUAAACAAAAAAUUAUGAUUGUUAUAUAUUUGGGAAGAAUGUAACAACCAAAAUAAGGAUAUU